AGGGAUUGAAGUGGAGAUAGUGCUGCCACGCACCUUAUGGGUCAAAAAGAAAUGUAGGAAAGGGCACACCUACCAAUACCU
rnacentral:ncRNA from 1 species